rnacentral:rRNA from 1 species
UACGUAGGGGUGCGAGCGUUUGUCCGGAAUUACUGGGCGUAAAGCGCGCGUAGGCGGCUUUGCAAGUCGGGUGUGAAAUCCCCAGGCUUAACCUGGGAACUGCAUUCGAGACUGCAUUGCUAGAGUAUGGGAGAGGGAAGUGGAAUUUCCGGUGUAGCGGUGAAAUGCGUAGAUAUCGGAAGGAACAUCAGUGGCGAAAGCGACUCCUGGACCAAUACUGACGCUCAUGUGCGAAAGCGUGGGGAGCAAACAGG